rnacentral:rRNA from 1 species
GACGUAGGGCGCGAGCGUUGUCCGGAUUCACUGGGUUUAAAGGGUGCGUAGGUGGGUUUGUAAGUCAGUGGUGAAAUCUCCAAGCUUAACUUGGAAACUGCCGUUGAUACUAUAAAUCUUGAAUGUUGUGGAGGUGAGCGGAAUAUGUCAUGUAGCGGUGAAAUGCUUAGAUAUGACAUAGAACACCAAUUGCGAAGGCAGCUCACUACACAAAGAUUGACACUGAGGCACGAAAGCGUGGGGAUCAAACAGG